rnacentral:rRNA from 1 species
UGGGGAAUAUUGGGCAAUGGACGCAAGUCUGACCCAGCAACGCCGCGUGAAGGAAGAAGGCUUUCGGGUUGUAAACUUCUUUUAAGGGGGAAGAGCAGAAGACGGUACCCCUUGAAUAAGCCACGGCUAACUACGUGCCAGCAGCCGCGGUAAUACGUAGGUGGCAAGCGUUGUCCGGAUUUACUGGGUGUAAAGGGCGUGCAGCCGGAGAGGCAAGUCAGAUGUGAAAUCCGCGGGCUCAACCCGCGAACUGCAUUUGAAACUGCUUCCCUUGAGUAUCGGAGAGGUAACCGGAAUUCCUAGUGUAGCGGUGAAAUGCGUAGAUAUUAGGAAGAACACCAGUGGCGAAGGCGGGUUACUGGACGACAACUGACGGUGAGGCGCGAAAGCGUGGGGAGCAAACAGGAUUAGAUACCC